UAAAGAGGAUAACUGCAUUCAAAACUUUGGAGGUGAAUGGAGAGAGCUUGGUUUCUGUAGGGCUCUACAGACAAAACACAAAAGAAUGCACAAUGCCUAUCCAUUAAGUAUGUAGCCUGGAUCUUGGAGUAUGACUGAGUUAGUCAACACAGGAAAUAUCAUCUCACUGCUGUAUCCAAGGACCAAUCAAAAGCACAAAAGUCAGUCAAAUAAGACACGGUCAGUGCUGGAAAGGCCUUUCCUCAAGGGAUCAAGGAAGGAAGUAUUUACAGCUGCAGCAUUAAUCCCUGGAUACCGUCAUGGAGCUACAGUGCUACAAGUUCUUGAACCCACCAUGACUGGAUAGCUUUGGUGAUCAGCACUGAAACAACAAUAAGGCUACACAUCUGCAUCAGAACUAUAAGACUUGAAAGGAAAAGCAAUGUUUGGUUCUAUGUUAUCUGCAGAGACUAUUGGGAUUGGGUAGAAGUUGGAAAGCAGGGGAUGGUGGAAGAAGAAAGCUUUUAGUAUAAAGAAUGACUCAGGAAUGUUGUAAAGUGAAGGAAUGUAAAAAAGAAAAGAAGAAAAAAACAGAAACCUAAAAAGUGAAAGACAUUAACCACGUGGCAACUCACCAGACUAAUUCAUAAAUAUAUAGCAACAAAUGACAAUAGACCUUCAUGUAUCUUCAUA